UGAACUGGGUAGCUAGAGUAUGUCAGAGGGGGGUAGAAUUCCACGUGUAGCAGUGAAAUGCGUAGAGAUGUGGAGGAAUACCGAUGGCGAAGGCAGCCCCCUGGGAUAAUACUGACGUUCAUGCCCGAAAGCGUGGGUAGCAAACAGGAUUAGAUACCCUGGUAGUCCACGCCCUAAACGAUGUCGAUUAGCUGUUGGGCAACUUGAUUGCUUAGUAGCGAAGCUAACGCGUGAAAUCGACCGCCUGGGGAGUACGGUCGCAAGAUUAAAACUCAAAGGAAUUGACGGGGACCCGCACAAGCGGUGGAUGAUGUGGAUUAAUUCGAUGCAACGCGAAGAACCUUACCUGGUCUUGACAUGUACGGAAGAACUCAGAGACGAGUUUGUGCCUUCGGGAGCCGUAACACAGGUGCUGCAUGGCUGUCGUCAGCUCGUGUCGUGAGAUGUUGGGUUAAGUCCCGCAACGAGCGCAACCCUUGUCAUUAGUUGCCAUCAUUAAGUUGGGCACUCUAUGAGACUGCCGGUGACAAACCGGAGGAAGGUGGGGAUGACGUCAAGUCCUCAUGGCCCUUAUGACCAGGGCUUCACACGUCAUACAAUGGUCGGUACAGAGGGUAGCCAAGCCGCGAGGCGGAGCCAAUCCCAGAAAACCGAUCGUAGUCCGGAUUGCACUCUGCAACUCGAGUGCAUGAAGUCGGAAUCGCUAGUAAUCGCAGGUCAGCAUACUGCGGUGAAUACGUUCCCGGGUCUUGUACACACCGCCCGUCACACCAUGGGAGUGGGGGAUACCAGAAGCAGNUAGGAUAA
rnacentral:rRNA from 1 species